GACAAUGUGUCCGAGUCUGGUCCAAGGAGUGGCACUCAAGUUGCCAUGGCGCAAGCCUCGCAGGUUCGAAUCCUGCCAUUGUCACCA
rnacentral:tRNA from 1 species